UAAAGGAAUUGGCGGGGAGCACCGCAACGGGAGGAGCGUGCGGUUUAAUUGGAUUCAACACCGGAAAACUCACCAGGAGCGACGGUUACAUGAAAGUCAGGCUUGAUGACCUUACUCGAUUUUCCGAGAGGUGGUGCAUGGCCGUCGUCAGUUCGUACCGUAAGGCGUUCUCUUAAGUGAGAUAACGAACGAGACCCUCACCAAUAGUUGCUACCGUAUCUUCCGAGGUGCGGGCACACUAUUGGGACCGCUGGCGCUAAGUCAGAGGAAGGAGAGGUCAACGGUAGGUCAGUAUGCCCCGAAUCUCCUGGGCUACACGCGCGCUACAAAGGGCGGGACAAUGGGUUCCUACACCGAAAGGUGACGGUAAUCCCGAAACCCGUCCGUAGUUCGGAUUGAGGGUUGUAACUCACCCUCAUGAAGCUGGAUUCCGUAGUAAUCGCGAAUCAACAACUCGCGGUGAAUAUGCCCCUGCUCCUUGCACACACCGCCA
rnacentral:rRNA from 1 species